UACGUAGGCAGCGAGCGUUGUUCGGAGUUACUGGGCGUAAAGAGUGCGUAGGCGGUUUUCUAAGUUUGGUGUGAAAUCUCCCGGCUUAACUGGGAGGGUGCGCCGAAGACUGGAAGGCUUGAGUAUGGGAGAGGUAAGCGGAAUUCCUGGUGUAGCGGUGAAAUGCGUAGAUAUCAGGAGGAACACCUGCGGUGUAGACGGCCUACUGGACCAUAACUGACGCUGAGGCACGAAAGCGUGGGUAGCAAACAGG
rnacentral:rRNA from 1 species